CUUCAACCCCCCUCGUUCUGAAACUUCUUCAGCGAAAAGAACGAAAAAACCAAACCAUACCCCACCCCCUGACCUCAUCGUCUUCACACGACCCUUCACCAAACUCACCCAAAAACCAUCCCCUUCUCCUCCACAACGACGACCCUCCAUAGCAGCUCACGCCAUCACACACACACACAACAGAAAAAUAGAGGAGGAUCUCUGAAAACAGUGAGGAGAACGAGACAAGCUUAAACUAUGGAGUCAAGCAGAGGUUAUUGAAAUCGCCGCUGUCCGGAGUGGUUUCGAGUGCGAUUUCGAGUCGAGUUUUGCGAUUCCGGGUUUGAAUUGUUGCUAUUUUCUCGACUGGAUGUUGGAUUUGAAGCCUUGUAUAUGUUUGGUUGUUCGAAUAUUCAAAGUAAUCUAAUCAUUGAGGUUUGAGAAGUGGUCGAUGUCGUCGUCCCAUUUUCUUGUUACCAUAUAUUGGUUCCGGUUUAGUUUCUUGUUGUUGUCCAUUUCCCCGGUCAAAAGUCAGCUUGCAGAACAUUGAUCGUUGGAUGCUGAAGAACGGUGUUUAGCCGAGGUUGAUUCGAGUUCAUUGCCGGUUUUAGAUUUUUGGUGCCAAUUUGGGUUCCCGUCUGCGAUUCGUUACAUCUCGAGUUCAAAGUAGUGAAACAAUCAAUUUCCCGACUAUAUUGAGAUUCAUCGAAGCAGUAUGUUGCAGAUACCAAUAAUUUGAACAAAGAAAUCAUUUGGGGGUCCCAUGGAAAAUAUCUAAGAGUAUCUUUGAAACGUGAUCCUUGAAUCAUCACGGCAAGCUAUCAAUGUCUUUAUAUUUGUUACUACCAAAUCCUGUAUUUUAUGUGUAGAUAGAUAGGCAUAAAUGUGUCGUAGUACACUAUACUAGCUACUUCCUCCAUUCCAUUUGCAGCGCCAAAACCAGAAUUUUCUCUAAGGUGUUCAAGAUUUAAUAUACAUAAAUAAAAAGUAAUUUUUAGUUUAUAUAUGCAGUAUAAAUUUUUAUUUAUUAUAAAGUAUAAUUUUUUGAUAAAGAAUGUUCAACUGACUACUAUUCGUUGUAUUUGGCUACGUCACUCUCCAUUUGAUGUGAAUCUAUUUUUAUUGAGUUUAAGAAAGAAAUAAAAAAAUCUUAAACUUGUGGUCCUAAACAAGUCAUAACAUUUAUGUAUACGGUAGAAAACGACGGUUCUAUUUUACGAUCAUCAAGGCAUCUCGAGGGUCUUCGGUGAUCGACUUUGAGGGUUCUUAGUGAUCGACUUCGAGGUAGUGUAAGUGACGGUCGGCCUCAAGGCAAUGUAAAUUAGUGGUCUCAGUGGAUCAAUGUGAAGUUCCAAAGGCGCAUAAAUAGAGCUGACAAAGUCUAGUGGACUAGUCCAAAAGCGAAUCAAGGCAUUAAAUGGUUGUACCAACCCCAUAUCUUUGUAAUUAAUGCAUUUGUACUAUGUUGGGAUUUCCCCCUCAUAUAUAAAGGGGAUCCUUGUCAUUUUAUAGAUACCUCAUGCUCAAUAUUAAAUACACAAGAACAUUCUCUCUGCUCUCUAA